rnacentral:tRNA from 1 species
GCUGGUUUAGUUCAGUGACAGAACGCGCCCCUCGUAAGGCCGAAGCGGCCGUUUGAUUCAGCCAACCAGCACCA